GCUUACGGCCACACCGCCUUGGUUCACGCCCGACUCGGAAGCUAAGAUAGGUUGGGCCUGGUUAGUACUUGGAUGGGAGACCGCCUGGGAAUACCAGGUGCUGUAAGCU
ensembl:rRNA 5S_rRNA 5S ribosomal RNA